AUGAGUGCUUCGAGCCUCAAGCGCGCGGCCCCGCGGGACGGUGAUGGCGGCAUCAGCGAUGGCGGCCAGGAGCGGGCUGAGCUUAGGGGAGAAAAAGGGCGCGAAAGAAACCAUCCCAGCAGGCGGGCCUCGCGCUGCGGCUGCCGCCAGGUGGCGCCCGGCCCCCGCCUGCUGCUGCUGCUGCUGCUGCUGCUGCUGCUGCUGCUGCUGCUGCUCCGCGCGGCGCUCCGGAGAAGCGAGCUGCAGGAUUGGGCUCGCGCCCGUCCCUCUCUCGUUGGCGCGUUCCCGUGCGUUGCUGAGCUGAGCAAAGGAUUCUUCUCUGCGUUUCAGAUGUAAGAACCUGAGGCUGUCUGAAUGAAGUUUUCCUUAUAAGAAUACUCCAGUGCUAAUGAUGACAACAGUGAAGGAACCAGCAAUUCAAUACUGGAGGAUGCUGCUGAGGAAACAUUGACAGAAGGGCAAGUAAUUAGUGCUUCUGUUUCUACUAAAAUUAGGGGAAAGAAAAAAAGAAAUUUAGUCACUAGAGCAAGAGGAUUUUUAAAUUGCAAGGAAAUCGUAUUUAAUGUGUGAAUCCAGCUGAACUAAGUAAGCUAAUCAAUAUGAUGGGCAAAUUCUAUUAACAGUAUAAAAAUACCAACUGAAUAAUUAAAUUGUAGUGUGGAAGAGUAAAUAUUUUGAGGAAAAGGACGAAACUGACAGAACCUGAGUAGGUCCAUGGAGUUAGUUGUCUUUAGAUGUUUUCUGCCUCUCUAAAAUAAUCAGACAUAAUACUGUGUAUUGGCUCUAGCUGUAUAGAACCUUUACUAUUGCCCAAAUGAGACAAGGCAUACGUGUUAGAAAUGGGAAGAGAUAAAUUAAUCUGCUUGAAUGCCAAAAAGAAUUUGAUUCAGCAGAAGUUGGAAGAAAAUUUCAGGUCAUAUUUGCAGACCCUUGAUGAAUAAUUCUGAAAUGGACCUCAGUGGAAUCAAGUUUUGAUUUUGAUGUAGUAACACUGGGACCCAGUAAGUUAGAACAGUGAUGAAUUUGGUACGGACUCCUCAAUGAAGAUAUGUGGAAUUAGACAAAUGGUAAGGUUUGGGUGAAAGGAUUUUUUUUUUCUUUUUUUUUUUUUAAUUUGGCAAAUUCCAAACAAUCUUUUUAGUAACAGAAUGACUGGUCAGGGAUGGGCUGUUGCUUUUUUUUAUGUAGUGCCUAGAAUAAUGAUUCUUGAUCUUGAUUGGAACCUUUCACCGCUUCAGAUAAAUUGAACUAUUUUUCUUGCUUAUACCUCUGUGGGGAUUUGGGAGUUAGGACUGGUUUUGGCAGUGGCCUGCAUGCUGGGCAGUGGAGGAAUGAAUAAAUGAGAGUUAAUGUGGUUGGUGAAACA
rnacentral:lncRNA from 1 species